UAAAGGCCAGGGACCUGCUGCUCACUGGACAGUCAUUGUAUAGAGGAUGGUUCCAGGCUCCACACAUCCACUGCGAGACUGUUGUACGUAGGCAUGAGGGGGGGCUACCACAGAA
rnacentral:sRNA from 1 species